UCCUCGGAAGCCCUCAAUGACCAACACAAAGAAAACAAAGGAAAAGAGAAUUUGUGGCUGUGAAUCAGUCUCCGCCAAUAUCCACACUCCUUCAUACAGACAGCCCCAGGAAACGGCUGGUCAGCCCUUCACCAGACACUGCUUUGUAAAGCCAGGCCCAUUUCUUUUCAACCCUUUGCCACCUUUGGGCUGGCUCAUCCUUUCACAGAGCCUGGCUUCCCCUCUGCCAGGAUGCUUGCAUCCUCCCACUGGUGUCUGCGGAGCUAAAUCAUAAACAAUUGCGUCCCUGUGUGAAUGAAAGGGAAAGUGCCAGUCACCGAAGCAGAAAGAAAGGCAAAAAAGUGGGGGUGGAUUUAAACAGCUAGAGAAAGCACAGAGGGUUUGCAUUCUGCGGAGGCACAGAGGGAGUUCUUGGACCUGAGAGGCAAGAUAAGGUGGGUUCCUCUUGGGUGUCUGAAAAAUAGGCACUUGAUUAAAUACCUGAAAUUCCCGCCCCAGCACCUGGAGGUCUGACUGUUUCAAGCACUCCUGUCUAGAAGCCUUGCAUACUAUGGGCAUGUAAUAGUGAUGUGGGUGUGGCUAGCAUAAAUGCCAGAGAAUGUGCCCAGUGGCUAGCCAUUCCCGCUACUUCUCUGCUGGUGCCUAUCUGGAGGGGCACUGAGAUGAGGAGGUGAUUUUCAAAGAAGAUCAGAAAGCAAGGUUAACACCCUUGAACCUGCCCACACUGUGUGGUUGACCAUUCCUGGCAACUCAGCUCUGCGGGGCUCCCAGGGCCCUCUCUCGAGACGAGAUUAAUGACAGUCUCCUACAGCACCUUCCCUGCAAGCCGACAAGAUCAUCACGACACUCAAACGUGUCAAAGUGGGUGAAAGCACCUUGAAAACUGGCAAUGCGAGUAUUUCACAUAUAAGAGAGAUCUUACGGCAUCCAUCUCCCUCUGUCCGAGCCAUUCUACGCAGCACAAGGCUCUCAAGGUCCACUGGUGCCCCAGCAAAUGGCAAGACUUCACUCCCUCUAUGGCCAAAGAAUAUUCCAUCAUAUAUUUAUACACCAGAUUUUCCUUUUAUGCAUUCAUUCUUUACUCUUUCAUCCACUGAUGAACACUUAGGCUGUCUCCAUGUCUUGGCUGUUGUAAACAAUGCUGCUAUGAACAUAGGGGUGCAAAUAUCUUUUCAAGUUAGUCAAAGAUACUCACUCAACUUUUUUUUCUGGAUCCUUUCAGGAAAAAAAAAAGUCUUUAUAUACCUGAAUGUGUGUAUACUUAAGAGCAAUUUCCUAUGUGCAGUGUCCCACAUUGUCGGUUUGUUUUUCACUUAAUAAUAGGUCUUUGCACAUUGUUCCAGUCCAUCCAAGCACCAAUAUUCCCUGCCUGGAUUAGUGCAAUAGCCUCCGAGCUGACUUUCCUGCUUCUACCCUUACCCCUACAGUUCAUUCCAGAGGGAUCCUGCUAAAACAUAAAUCAGAUCAUGUCCCUAUUUGUUCCAACUGUCCAGUGUUCAUCCCUCUGCACUCCUCCAGACACACUUCUCCUCACGUGGGCCAAGCAUGGUCCCACUUCAGGGCCUUUGCACUUGCUGUUCCCUCUGCCUGAAGUGUACGCAUUUAUUUUCUGCCCCUCAAUUCUUUGCGUGGCUGGCUUUCUUAUUCUGGUCUCAUUGCAGACACCUCCUCCCUCACCACCUGUUCUCAUCAGCCCCUCAUCACUGUCCUUCACAUCCUCUGCUUUCUUUUUAUUCAUAGCUCUUACUACUAUCUGAAAAUUAUCAUAUUCAGUUUUUUGUGUUUUCUGUGUCCCCAUACCACACACUGGAAUGUAAACUCCACGGGGAGAGCAGGGGUUUUAUCUGUCCUUUCACCAUUGUAUUCCCCAUACCUAGACCAGUGGUUCUCAAACUUGAAUGUGCAUUAGAAUCACCUGGAGGGUUUGUUAAAACACAGAUUGCCGGGCCCCAACUCCAGAGCUUCUAAUUCAGCAGGUCUGGGGAUGGACGUGGGAAUUUGCAUGUCUGACAAGUUCCCAGGUGAUGCUGAUGCUGCUGGUCCGGGGACCACCUUGGAGAACCACCAGUCUAGACGACGCCUGCGCACAGUGGGUAGUGCAAAUAUAUUUAUUACAUGAACGCAUGAGUCUGCACCUAAGCAUCUGCCACCUUCUUUGUAUUGGCAGUUUUAUUUCCACUUUAUCAUUUAUUUAUAUUUAUUGGCCUGUAAGCCUCCUCAAAUUCUUUGUGACAGGAGGGCACCACAUUUUUUUCAGCUAAAAUGGUUUAUUAGUUCCACUGAUUUGUCAGCAGAUAAUUAAAAACCUAAAGUUUUCUAGGGCCAAGGGGAGCCAGUGAGAGUCACUUCUUGUUCUCUGCCUCAGCAAAAUGUCAAAGCAAAGGGUGGUGCAACUCUCACUUGACAUGUGGCAGAAAAUGUUCCCAAGGAGGAACCACUCAGGCCUCCACUGUGAUUGUUUAUAACUUCCUGUUGGCUCGGAUUUGGCCUCGCUGCAUUGGAAUGUACACAACUAAGCUACCUGGACGCCAGCUUACGCAAUGUAGAGAGCCCAGUGGUUUUUCUGUGAGUCACAAAACCCCUUGAGAAUCUGACAAGAUCUAAACCCUGUUCCCCAGAAAAAUAAACAUACACACAUACCCUCACACAUUUUUUUUGCAUUUAAUUUCAGGAAGUUACGAGAUAUCCCAAGUCCAUUCUAACCCCAAAUUUAAAACCCCUCAUUUAAUAACUAUCUAUCUAUUUGGCAAGAGGGACAAAAACAACCAGGAUCCCCAGUUUGUUAUUUAAAUUCUUGAGGAAUCAGAGAUUUAAAUGUAAGAAGACAAACUUUAGAGGAAAACACUAAUUACCAAGAUUUAUAAUCUUAGAAGGGAGAACGCUUUUUGAAACAUGAUUUGAAACCCAGAAACGAACAUAGAAUAGCGAGAUUGAGUCCAUAAAAUUUAAAAUCAUCUCUAUAGGAAAGAGCGGGGAAAAUCGUCCUAGUUCAGACUCUGGGGAGACAUCUAGGUACUCUGUCUUUCCAUCUAUAGUCUUUCCACUUGAAUUGUCUGGGUGGCCUGUGGCCAGGCUCCGUGGGGACAAGACCUGAGCUAAUCAGAGUGGACAGGGAGAGACCACAUCCUUCAGUGAAGCCCUGUCGCUGGGUUCAUUAUUUCAUUAGCCAUGGUUUGGGUUUUUAAACAACUUUAUUGAGAUAAAAUUCACAUACCAUACAGUUCACCCAUUCAAAGUAUACAAUUAAGUGAUGUUAGUAUAUUCACAUGGUUGUGCAACCAUCACCAUUAUCUAGUUUUAGAACAUUUUUGUCAUCCCCAAAAGAAACCCCAUACACAUUAGCAAUCACUUCCCAUUCCCCACUCCCACCAGGGCUAGGCAACCACUCCUCUACCUUCUGUCUCUAUGGAAUUGCCCAUUCUGGUCAUCUCAUAUAAAUGGAAUCAUACACUCUGGGCUUCCUUCCCUUAAAAAACAUAAUGUCUUUGAGGUUCAUCCAUGUUGUAGCAUGUAUCAGAACUUCAUUCCUUUUUAUCGCUGAAUACUAUUUCAUUGUAUGG